rnacentral:rRNA from 1 species
GACGAACGCUGGCGGCGUGCUUAACACAUGCAAGUCGAACGGAAAGGCCUGCUUUCCCUUGUGGAUUGCGGGUACUCGAGUGGCGAACGGGUGAGUAACACGUGAGUGAUCUGCCCCCAACUUGGGUAUAAGCCUGGGAAACUGGGUCUAAUUCCCGAUAGGACUGCAGGGUGGUGCCUGUGGUGGAAAACGAUUUUCUAGUGGUUGGGGAUGAGCUCGCGGCCUAUCAGCUUGUUGGUGGGGUAAUGGCCUACCAAGGCGGCGACGGGUAGCCGGCCUGAGAGGGUGGACGGCCACAGUGGGACUGAGAUACGGCCCAGACUCCUACGGGAGGCAGCAGUGGGGAAUAUUGCAUAAUGGGCGGAAGCCUGAUGCAGCGACGCCGCGUGGGGGAUGACGGCCUUCGGGUUGUAAACUCCUUUCGACCGCGAGGAAGCCACCUGGUUGGAAGGGUGGUGACGGUAGUGGUAGAAGAAGCACCGGCUAACUACGUG